UGGGGAAUAUUGCACAAUGGGGGAAAGCCCUGAUGCAGCGACGCCGCGUGAAGGAUGAAGUAUUUCGGUAUGUAAACUUCUAUCAGCAGGGAAGAAAAUGACGGUACCUGACUAAGAAGCCCCGGCUAACUACGUGCCAGCAGCCGCGGUAAUACGUAGGGGGCAAGCGUUACCCGGAUUUACUGGGUGUAAAGGGAGCGUAGACGGCUGUGCAAGUCUGAAGUGAAAGCCCGGGGCUCAACCCCGGGACUGCUUUGGAAACUGUGUAGCUUGAGUGCUGGAGAGGUAAGCGGAAUUCCUAGUGUAGCGGUGAAAUGCGUAGAUAUUAGGAGGAACACCAGUGGCGAAGGCGGCCCCCUGGACGAAGACUGACGCUCAGGUGCGAAAGCGUGGGGAGCAAACAGGAUUAGAUACCC
rnacentral:rRNA from 1 species